AUAGGUUGUUUGUACCCUUAGCUUUGGGUGUUUUUCAAAAAAAAAUUGGGUGCUUUUCAAGUUGCUAUGUUAUGUGCUUUUUGAGAAACAGAGAGAGGUGCCAGCAACAAGUUUAAGAGAAAAAGGGAGAUUCGGAAGAGAGAGAGAGAGAGAGAGAGAGAGAGAGGUCUCCGACGGCAGGUUCCCGGCACGUGUAGAUGGUGGCGGCUCAAGGGUUUUCAGUGGUUUAGUUCAGACAUAGCGGAUCUCCGGCGACCGGUUUCCGACAUCCUAGCCGCCUGCAACAUAUCUGUUGUUGUACUCUGGUUGCUUUUUGCUCAAAUUCUGUUUGUUUCUUUUAUGUUUUAUUUAAUUGCUGAAUUUUUUGAUUUCGCCUUAGGUUGGUAUGUUUUUACUCAGGUGAUUGGUUAAUCUGUGCAUAAUUUCUGUGUGGUAUGCUUUCAUUUUUCAUGUAGGUAUUGUUAAUGGCUUUUACCUUGUCGGAGGUGUUCAAUUUUGUGUGUAGUCGAUUGUUGGAUUUGGGGUUUAGGGUUAUUCUUUUAAGUAUUAUUUGCGUUUUUUUUUGCGAUGAUUAGAAGAUAGAAAGAUAAAUGUAGCGCAUUGGUAACUAGGGAUGAACAUGUGGUACAAAAUACCGAUACCAUACUGGUUGUAUUCGAUAUCGGUAUUACGUUUUACCAUUUUUUCGAGAUCGGGAUUUUCGGGAUUGGUACCGGUAUUUUUUUGGUAAUACUGAAUUAGUACCGAUUUCCCACUUAUUCCUAUUUCCCACCCAUAAUUCAAGUAGAGUGGUGAACUGUAAUUUAGAACUAAAGUGUAAGUCUUCUCAUUAUCAAUCCAAAUCAAAUUCCAAAUUCUCAUAAACAAAACAUGACGAUCCUAACAUAUUUGUAUGUUAAACUGAAACUGCUUAGCAUGUUAAACUGAAAUUGAUACAUUUGUAUUAAUAAUAAAAUAUUAAGGAUAAUAAUAAUAAUAAUAAUAGAACAUUAAAUCUUAACAAAUUUUGGCCCAUAUCAGAAACAGAAGGUUUUUUUUUGGGUAAAGGGUUACCCCUGAAUACUUGCAUUGGGUAUGUUUGUGCAUGAACAAGGACCUGUCCUAAUAUGCAAAAGGGCCAGUUCGGUCUGUUGAUGUAAGAACCAUGGACCAUGGCUGAGGUUUGGGGUCACCUUAACCUUACGACUUGAUGGUUUUACAACACAAAGGAUAUUUUUUAACCGGCGUACUUAAUAUUCAACAUGAAAGCUAUCAUACUUAAUAAUUUACAUUUGAGCAACAACAUAGUUGUUAGUUGAUCCUUUAUAAAAAAAACAAGUGUUAGAAUUUGGUAUCAAAUAUGAAUUAAAAGAGAAUGACAAAUAGAUGACAGUCGAAUGCUUUAAUUUCCCUAACCAUGUUCUUCAAAUUUCCAUUAUUCUAGGGGGGUUGGUUCCGGUACAAACCAUAUUUAUCGUACAAACCGUAAGAACAGAUCCUAGCACUUAAAAAAAGUUAAAUUAGCACAUACCAAAACAAUACAUACAUAAAAGUAGCACUACGAACUGUAUUAGCACAUGAAAAUUAAUCAAGAUAAUUGAUUUUAGCACAUAUUUGAAUGAUAUCAGCACUUUUCUUAAUCAGCACAUUGAAAACAAAAGAAAGAUCCAAAUAAAGAAUUAAUUGUUUGUUCGUAUAUUUAUAGGGAAUUCAAUAUAAUUGAUAUUAUUUAGGAUAUUAUUUUAUCAUUUCUCUAUAAUUGGUUGGAUGCCACGUGCCACUUUUUAAAUGGUUCUUACAGUUUGUAUGCGAAAUGUGGUUUUUAUUUGAUCCUACUCCCAUUAUUCUAUAAUGUAUAUGCCUUAACUUUUUUGCAAAUCUUGGUAUCCAAAAUGGGAGAUAGAGCUGGUUGAUGAUUUUGGUGCCAAUAUAUCAAUUUAAGAAUUCGGUACCAACCGGUAUCAUACCGAACAACCGGUACCGUACCGGUAUUUUCGAUACGGUAUUCGGUACCAACUUUUCAUGAAUAUCGGGAUCGGUAUCGGUUCGCUACCGUUCUCAUCCCUAUUGGUAACUGGUGGUGAAACCACGGUAAGUGUUUCCUCACUUACAUGUUCCACCCAUUUGAUAGAUCGGUCGCGGAAGUUCUAAAAAGUCGACCACAACUACACACCCACCAUGUGAAAGGAGUGUAUAUCUGACAUCAUUAACGUCAUCUCCUCUCAUUUUGUUAUCGUAAUUUUAUAGACAUAACUAGCUGGUUUAAUUAAGUACUAAAAUUAUACAAAUUAUACAUUUUCUAUAAACCUAAAUGCUUCGACCCGUUACAUAACCAAUAUAUAUUUCAGUUGUGUAAAUAGUGUCUGUGGAUGUAGGUGUUUUGGCAUGACUUAACUUUUUGAAAUUAUUAGGUUAUAACAACUGUUAACUAACACUUAACAAUGCUUUAUUAUAUAUAAAAUAUAAUUGACUAACUGUAGUUACAACUAGAGUUAGUUUGCAAGCUAGAUGGGUCAAUGAUAGCACAUGGAGUGAAACUCAUUUUUCUACACAUAUUAUGUCUAUGCAUGUUAUGUUUAAUCGGUGUUCUUACUAUGAUUUUGUUUGUAUAAGUUUGCUAUCUUGUAGAUCCAGAUCAACUAGAAGGAGGCCAGUCUAAAUCGAGGGCCAGAAUGUAUCUUUUAUACACCUUUUAGGAGUUUUUCAUUUCACGAUUGUAGGUCACUAACCUAAUAUUGUGCAGGAUACAGAAGGCACAAAGCGCACGACUUCCAGUAGCAGUGCAAUGAAAUCUACAAAUGAUAGCGCUUUAUCAUCGAAUUCGACUAGAGUUGUUCCUGUUGGCCUUAGCUUAGGAGAGAACUGUAUGUUGGUUUCCGCAGGUUUCCUGAAAUGUGCGACAAACCUUCAUGGUUGCACUGGAAUCGAUUCUCAUAUUUGUAGCUUGGAUAUCUUGGAUUUCUGUCUUUCCAUAUUGUCAGCUUUAUGUUUUGUUUACACUGGAAUCGAUUUUCAUAUUGUCAGCUUUUACAGUUUGUUGAAGAUGGUGGAUUAAAGAGUUUUUGCUGCCACUGACUUACCAGCUGUCCUUUUACCUAAUGAAACCUUUUCUUUAGCUUUUGUUCUCUCGGCUGAUGUAAUAUUUUUUUAGGCUUCAACUUUGGUUUCGGUGGAUUUAGGUGCGUUGUUGCUUUCCAGUGGCCUGUCACAAGCGGAACAUGUGUCAUAUCUUAGGUUGAGAACGGCCAAGGGGAUAUUGAGAUUAGGUGCUGGAUAACAUCUGGCAUGCUUUAAGCAUGUGGUGUACAUAAUAAUUCUUGCUGACUUUUAUUCAUCAAGUCACGGCAAAUGAAAAUGUAGUGGCGAGUUUCGUUAGUGUAUGCUGUUUAGUUAUAUAUAUAUAGAUGAUCAUCAGACUAUGUUUCUGCUACAUGAAAGGUGUAAUGUAAACCACUACAAAGAUUUGAUUCUUUUGUAACUUUGAAUGAGGUAGAUAGAUUCUAAGGAGGGUGACAUGGCUAAUAAACAUUGUGCUCAUUUCAUAAUCUGGGGACAAACAUUUCAUAUUA